CUGAUUCGAAACAAAAGAUUCGUAAAGGUUCGAAGUUUCAGGAAGCAGUGUUUUGAAAGGAAAGCGCACAUCACUAGUUAUGAGUCUCUCCAAGCAGACUGGGCAUCUGGACGGUACACAGAUUCCUGUAAGGCACCGGCGGCAGAACGAGUGUCCGCAACUCACCGUUACCGG